AUUGAACGCUGGCGGUAUGCUUAACACAUGCAAGUCGAACGGCAGCACAAUGUGUAGCAAUACACAUGGGUGGCGAGUGGCGGACGGGUGAGUUACGCGUAGGAAUCUGCCUUGAAGAGGGGGACAACCCGAGGAAACUCGGGCUAAUACCGCAUGAUAUCGAGAGAUUAAAGUUGGGGCAACCUGACACUUCAAGAGGAGCCUGCGUCCGAUUAGCUAGUUGGUUAGGUGAAGGCUGACCAAGGCGAUGAUCGGUAACUGGUCUGAGAGGACGACCAGUCACACUGGGACUGAGACACGGCCCAGACUCCUACGGGAGGCAGCAGUGGGGAAUAUUGGACAAUGGGGGCAACCCUGAUCCAGCAAUGCCGCGUGUGUGAAGAAGGCCUUCGGGUUGUAAAGCACUUUAGGUUGGGAAGAAGGUGGUUAUUUUAAGAGAUAGAUCACUUGACGGUACCGACAGAAUAAGCACCGGCUAACUCUGUGCCAGCCGCCGCGGUAA
rnacentral:rRNA from 1 species